rfam:Pygoscelis adeliae contig18545, whole genome shotgun sequence.
CCUGCAUCCCUUACUCACGUGAGCAGUCGUCUCUAUUUCAAUGGGACUACUCAGUGAGUAAGGAUCGCAGG